rnacentral:rRNA from 1 species
UACGGAGGGUGCAAGCGUUGUCCGGAAUCACUGGGCGUAAAGGGCGCGUAGGCGGCUCAUGAAGGCUGUGGUGAAAGUCCGGGGCUCAACCUCGGAUCGGCCGUGGCGACUCGUGGGCUGGAGCACUGUAGAGGCGGGUGGAAUUCCUGGUGUAGCGGUGGAAUGCGUAGAGAUCCGGAAGAACACCAGUGGCGAAGGCGGCCCGCUGGGCAGUGGCUGACGCUGAGGCGCGACAGCGUGGGGAGCAAACAGG